CCCGUGUCUCAUGCCACCCCAUUCAUCCAUUUCUCCUGCAACCCUGCACUCUCUCUCUCUCUCUCUCUCUCUCUCUCUCUCUCUCAAGUUUCUCCUCCUUCCCUCCCUCUACCGGAAGAAGAAAAACUAGGGUUUCGAAUCGAAAUCAACCCUAGUCCAGUUCCACACCACCUUCGAAUUCUGUUUACUCGUUCUUCCCCCCCUCUCUCCGUCUCUGUAAACAAUGAGUAGUACAUCGGCCUCAAUACAAUUGCCCCCCCAGUCAAAGGAGAGCCCCGAAAGCGGCAACCUUUCGCAGCUCAUUCUCCCACUAAAACCGUCCUUCCGCCCCGGCGACUUCGAGAGGGUCAUGCAGACCCUGAACGCCCGCGACGAAGCCGCCCGAAGAGACACCGCCUACUGGAAGGCCCAGUACGAGGCCAUGGAGAAGAAACACGGCGAGGCGGAACUCGAGAAGCUGAUCGCCCUAGACGAGGUAACAAAGCUCAAUCGGGAGCGCGACCUCCUCCAGAACCAGGUCGCGCGCGCCGAUAACGACCGGCGCCUGCAGAUCGAGCGUAUGGAGGAGGACCAGAACAGCAGGAUGGCCAGGUUCAAGGAGGACCAGAAGGCGGGGAGGGAGAGGGAGAGGGGCUUGGACCAGCGGUACGCGAGGCUGUGGGAGGAUUUCAACAAAAUGGAGACGGAGAAGGCGAAGCUGGGGUGCAAGGUAUCGGCGCUGGAGUUCGAGAGGGAGAAGGCGAAGCGGGAGGCGGAGGAGAGUGGGAGGCGGUUCGACGAGUUGAAUCGGCGGGUAUCGCGGUUGGAGGAGGACGCGGCCCUGUUGAUGAGCGCGGGGCCGGGGGUUGAGGAGAGGUCCGAGAGGAGAGAGGAGAGGAGUGAUGUUAGUGCUGCUGCUGAUGAGUUGGUGGUGGAUGGGAAAGAAGGGGGAAGUGGCGGUGGUGAUGGAAGUAGUGAGGAAAUUUUGACUGAGUUACCUGUGAAAGAAAGUGGGUUAAGCUGCGGUGAAAAAGCUGAGGCGGUAGUGCCAGGUCGAGGCGGCUCUGGUCCUGGUUCCGUGGAGGCUGGAACUGGAUCUAUGGUUGUCAUUGAGAUAGAUGAUAGUGAUGACGAGAUGCCCACUAGAAAAAGAGGAUUAUCCAUUGAUGACUCUGAGAACGUGAAACCAACUAAGAAGCAUCACACGAAGUCACUUAUAGAGUUGAUGGACGAGCCUGGUGGUUCAGAUUCUUCUGACACUGGUGACAGCUCCGGUUCUGGUUCUGACAUCGACAUCAAUAGUGAGAUUGCAAGGCUCCGUAGAAAGGUGGCUGAAAAGAAAACAUGGGCAUUUAAAGUUGAUAUGAUGUCAGCAUUAGAGAGGGAUCCUGAACUCUGCAUGAAUGCUGUUUGUGCUCUUUAUCGGAAGCAGUUGUGUAAGGUGGAAUCAGUUAGUGGCUCUUCAUUGGGCAUGAAUCCAGGGUUUAACCAGUUUGAUGCACUCAGUUCCGCUUGGGAAAAGGAAGCUGGUUUUGAAGCUUUCUGCCCACGCAUAAAUGCAUCUCCAGGAGUGAUGUUUGUAGUCAAUCUGUUAUUAUGAGAGAAAGGGAUUCAAGUGCUUUUGUAGCUAUGUGGCGGGGUUGUUCUUCAAGCUGGCAUGGAAGCUCUGCUAAUGGCUUUUUUUUUUUUUUUUUUGUGGAACUGCGUAUAAGACACUUUUUUGUUUCCAUAGAAAAAAGAGAGCAGGAACUGAUAUGCUGGGAAGAGCUGGAUUUCUUGCUAGUGGCUGUUUAUUGCUGUUUAUUUUCUUUCUAGGAGAAUGAAAAGGAAAGAAAAGAUCACUUUCUAUCUAGAACACCACCGCUUCUGAACCCAGAACCAGGAGAUUGUUUUUGGUGCACUUAAUUUACUGGAUUGCUGUUCUAGUUUUACAUGAUCUCCUGGAGAGGAACUAGUUUGGGAAAGUAUUUGACUGAUGGUGAUCCGCAAGGGAAACUGAAGAGAUCUGUUUCGGAGUUGCAGGAAUUUGAUCCAAAUGGUCUUGGUGACUGUAAAAA